rfam:Microgenomates (Roizmanbacteria) bacterium GW2011_GWA2_32_13 TR23_C0018, whole genome shotgun sequence.
GCCCUCGUAGUUCAACGGACAGAACACAAGCUUGCGGAGCUUGCGAUUGGGGUUCGAUUCCUCACGGGGGCA